CAAGGAAUUUUCGGCAAUGGGCGGAAGCCUGACCGAGCAACGCCGCGUGGAGGAUGACGGCUCUUGGGUUGUAAACUCCUUUUGGGGGGGACGAUAAUGACGGUACCCUCCGAAUCAGGCCCGGCUAACUACGUGCCAGCAGCCGCGGUAAUACGUAGGGGCCAAGCGCUGUCCGGAAUUACUGGGCGUAAAGCGUGGGUAGGAGGUCGAUGAUGUGCCGCGUGAAAGCGCCGGAGUAACGCCGGCGAGGUCGCGGUAGACACGUUGACUAGAGGCUCGCAGAGGAACGUGGAAUUCCCGGUGUAGUGGUGAAAUGCGUAGAUAUCGGGAGGAACACCAGUGGCGCAAGCGGCGUUCUGGGCGAGACCUGACACUGAGCCACGACGGCGUGGGGAGCAAACAGGAUU
rnacentral:rRNA from 1 species